rnacentral:rRNA from 1 species
UCCACGCCGUAAACGAUGGUCACUAGUUGUUGGAGUUUCGGCUUCAGUGAUUAAGAGAAAUUGAUAAGUGACCCACCUGGGGAGUACGAUCGCAAGAUUGAAACUCAAAGGAAUUGACGGGGGCCCGCACAAGCGGUGGAGCAUGUGGUUUAAUUCGAUGAUACGCGAAGAACCUUACCUAGCCUUGACAUUGAAGAAACACACUAGAGAUAGAGUGGUGCCCUUCGGGGAAUCUGAAAACAGGUGCUGCACGGCUGUCGUCAGCUCGUGUCGUGAGAUGUUGGG